rnacentral:lncRNA from 1 species
GUACUACCUCUGCAUGAUCUAACCAUGCUUAACUCAGCAGUGAGUUCUGUACAACAUCAGAUCACUUUAAGGUAGCUCACAUUCAAGAACAUGUACUAGCUCACAUUCAAGAACAUGUAUUACCUCUGUAUGAAUACGAUCUAUAACAAUGCUUAACUCAACAGUGAGUUCUGUACAACAUCAGAUCACUUUAAGGUAGCUCACAUUCAAGAACAUGUACUAGCUCACAUUCAAGAACAUGUAUUACCUCUGUAUGAAUAUGAUCUAUAACCAUGCUUAACUCAGCAGUGAGUUCUGUACAGCAUCAUAUCACUUUAAAAUAGACACAUUCAAGAACGUGUACUGUCUAGAACUGAUAGAACUAUCCAGUAUAAAUAAAAUUUGUUAAUUAUUUCGGUGAAAUGACUCUAGCUAGGGAGAACAGUCCAGAACUGAUAGAACUAUCCAGUAUAAUAUAUCGUUCACUGUAGGUUUCCUCCUGAACAAACUAGUACUCCACGCCUAGAGAGAGAACAGUUUCGAAGUAUCUAGCAUAAAAAAGUAAUUUUAGGUUUGUUUGAAUUUUAAUAUGUGGGCAUGACAAAGAGUUAAUGUCUACACAGGUGGCUCUGCCUGUGGAACGCGAGAUGAAAGUGCUGACGAAUUGGUUUCCAUAACAACGUAACAUUCCAUAAAUGAUAGUAAUUCAUGUUAUACAUUGAGACAACAGUAUCAAUGCUGGAAACAUCUAGUUUGUUCUAUAAUCGAUUAAAUAGUUGACUAUAUGUUGACAUAGUUAAGUAGUGUUUAUAUCUGGUCACAUGCUGACAACGUGCUGUUAACGUGCCGUUGUCAUGUUAUUAUGAUUUGUCGAGAGGUAGUACAUGAAUGUUCUUGAAUGUGGGCUAUCCUAAAAACAUCACAGCUGAGUUAAGCAUGGUUAGAUCAUGCAAAGGUAGUACAUGUUCUUGCAUUUCGGCUGUCCUAAAAACAUUACUGCUGAGUUAAUCAUGGUUAGAUCAUACAGAGGUAGUACAAGUUCUCGAAUGUGGACUACUUUAAAAUCUGAUGUUGGACAGAACUCAUGGUUUGAUCAUGCAGAAGUAGUACAUGUUCUUGAAUGUGAGCUACCUUAAAGUGAUCUGAUGUUGUAGAGAACUCACAAGCUGAGUUAAGCAUGGUUAGAUCAUGCAGAGGUCGUAGUACAUGUUCUUGAAUGUGAGCUACCUUAAAGUGAUCUGAUGUUGUAAAGAACUCACAGCUGAGUUAAUAUGAUUAGAUCAUAUGCAGAGGGGUCACACGUUCUUGAUUGUGCGGUACCCUAAACUAGUAAUCUUGGUUAGAUCAUGCAGAGAUAGUACGUGUUCUUGAAAUACGUGACUGUAUGAGUCACGUAGACAAAAGGCACUACAUUACCCUAAUCACAAGAAUGCAACUGCUAUAAAUGGCGGUAUCAGUUGAUAAACAACUUUUGAACACACGUAUACAUCCGCAACUAAUGGACAACUUGCAUGUCAGACUAAAUUUUAAUCUAAGUAAAGAGAAGGGAAUAAAACACAACAGUUAAAAAUAAAUUAAUG